UACGGGGGGGGCAAGCGUUGUUCGGAAUUACUGGGCGUAAAGGGCUCGUAGGUGGCCAACUAAGUCGGACGUGAAAUCCCCAGGCUCAACUUGGGAACUGCAUCCGAUACUGGAUGGCUUGAAUCCGGGAGAGGGAUGCAGAAUUCCAGGUGUAGCGGUGAAAUGCGCAGAUAUCAGGAGGAACACCGGUGGCGAAGGCGGGUCUCUGGGCAACAACUGACGCUGGAGGAGCGAAAAGCGUGGGGGAGCGAACAGG
rnacentral:rRNA from 1 species